UCUAAAUUAGAUAUCUCUCUCUUUAAGUCGGUGUUGUCUUUUCUAUUUAUAGGUCUCUCGCACCUUAUUUCUCAGAUCUGUUGUUCUGGUCUCAUCUUCUAUUAUCGAUCUUUGCCAAAUCGAAUUGAUCGUUUCACGAUCUAUCUAUCGAUUAUGGCUUUACUUCUGAUGGUUUCUUUGGGUUCGGGAGAGGUUUUCAUACCAGCCGUUAGAUUUGUUUCAGAUCUGCAAAUUUUCAAGCCGUCUGAACUUAACGUAGCCAGAUCUAUUGAGCUCGAGGUUGAAAUUCCUUUUCCUGAGAUUUCCAAUUCCGGACUCGGUUUUUUUUAAUCCAGCCUGCUGAGAUGUGGAACCGAUGGUGAUAAGCUUUGUGUUGUAGAUCGAGAUCGUUGACCAUGUCUUGGGGAUGAUCGAUGCCUUCUAGUCUAAUGAUCGGAUGCUUUGGCACCGGCUUUUGCGAGGAUUAUUAGGCGAGAAAAGAAUUGGUUUGUGAUUAUAUAUUUCAUGCGAGUUUAUGUGGUUGUGACUGCUGUUUGUGGUUCUUACAUGACCUAUGAUAAGAGGUAAAUUAUUUUAGAAGUAGGAUGAUGAUGAUUUAUGGAAGUGAAGAUUGAUGAUGAGGAAGGAGAUGAUGAUGUGCGGAGGUUAGGUUUAUGUUUAAUUGCUGGUGAUGGUUUGUCUGUCUCUCGACCUUUGCCAUGACAGGUGCGCUUGCUUGGCAGGUCACAAAGAACUAAUAAAAUUUUAUUUUUGGGUUUCAAGGGGGGGAGAUGGUACGGGGUUAUUUAUUCCUUUUGGUUUUUGCCCGGCUCUCCCCCCCAGCGUGCGUGUGCGUGUGUGGCUGGUCUUUUUUCUCUCUGUCUCUCUCUCUCUCUGUCUCUCUCUCUGUCUCUCUGUUUGUGCUAUCUUUGUCCGUCUCUUAUACCACCAUAUCUACCUAUCAAUUCUGGACGGCCGUUCAAUCAAACAUCAUAUGCAACCAAGGCAAACGAGGCAACAACUAUGCAGGAAUCAAUUUUGAUCUUCAUCAAUUCAACCACGAAAGGUAUAUACUUGACGACAUCUUUUAAUUGAUAUUCACGCUCGGGACCCCAAACCAUCAUUAUCUAGACAUACUAUAUUUUGCAAGCAGUUAAAACACAAAUUUAGUAUUGAAUUAUUCAAGUCCUUAUUCUCCAUAUUGCAUAAACACUUGCACACUGUACAAGCUAGUUCGUUUUUGUCCUCUCCAAUCAACAUUUCACAAUGAGCAAGAAUGAAAUUGUCAAAAUGAGUUUAAAUGAUUUUUUAUUGGUCAAAGUUAUUUAUGUAAUGGUAAUUGGAACCGGCUCAUGAAAUCACACAUGCACUGAAUUAGAAAAUAUAGCAGGCAGAAGUAUUAAAUCUCUCUUAUAUGCGGCACUGAAUAAGUAACAGCGUUAUAAGAGCUAGUUGGAAUUUUAACAUUUUGUGAUAGGUAUAUAAUUUAGCCUACUUAUUUCAGCCAGUUAGUUUAUGUUGCAUUCCACGAUAAAUAUGUUGAUAUUUAGAUGAAAGUACCCAAAUAACCAUCCUUUCAAAAUUGCAGACCUUUAAAAAUUAUUGCGUCGCGGUAAUGUGGGCUCAUAUGUUUGCCCAACUGAGAUGUUGCAUCGGCAGAUAAAAUUAAGUAACUCAACUGUUUUAUGUAAUUGACUGGGAUACCAUAUUAACUUGUCCCUUAUGCUGCCAUGGUGCCACUUGCAAUUCUCCAUCUCGCAGUUACAUAUGGAAUUGAAUUUUUUUGUCAAUUUAUUAUAUUACUGCACCUGAUUGCGAAAUCUUCAUGGAUAAAAGAGAUUCCCAGAUAGCUGUUGUGGGUAGUAGUUCUCUCUAUUGUUUUAAAGCAUGUUCGUAGUGGAGGGUUUUUUUGUAUGUUCCAAGAGGUCUAUUCUGGUAAAUGUUGUAUAUCAGUGGCUGCUACACCUGGUGUAGAGUACCUUCUUGUAUAUAGGGGAUGGUCAUGGUUCUCCAGCGUUCCCCUCUUCCCAUUGAAGAGAUGUGUUACAAGUCGUUGGUGGAGGUUGAUUGUCUCGGUGAUUUGUGGACUUCUGGUGCUUGGGUGCUCGCCGCUGUUUGGAUCAAGUUUUGCACAUUGACAUGCAAGAGACCGUUAUGGGACUCUUUCGAGUACUGUUAGAGGAAGAUUUCGGUGGUGUUGUUGGUUUUGUGGUGGACUUCUCUCCGUUCAAGAGGUUCUUAUCUCUUCGGUGCUAAAUGCUGUUUCGCAAGUAUAUGCUUUGCAUCGAUGACAUCAGCUUCAAAACGUUAUUUGCUACAUCCUAGAAUUAGCAAGAAAUAUUUGUAAAAAUGCUGCAAGGUCGUCAACCUGAAAGUAUUAUCAACAAUCUGAAUGCACUAUUGCAGUGUCGGCCUGUUGCUCUUUUAAGGAUGUGUUUGCCUGAUGCAAAGCGUAAUGUCUGUAGGAAUAAGUUUCUGUCGGCUAUUUAAUCAGCUCAACUAUUGGCGUGAACUUUUAGCAUCCUUUGCUUGGAAGUGUCUUCUCCAUAUCUAGUGAAUCAAGAAAGCUCUUCUUAUUGCGGCUGUUUUCAAUUUUGAGGUAUGGAUUCUUUGGAAGUUCUUCCUAGCUUCUUAAGAGGCACAAGCUCAUCUUUAUAUUGCAAGUGUUAUAGAUUCUGCGCAUCUUUUUUUCAUCUCUCUUCGUUGAACGGCUGGACGGUACGUGUCCCCUCUUGAUAGAGUCGGUUUUGCUUUUGGCCUUUCAUUAGUUUGUCCAUUGUGCAGGGAUGCCGUUUCAUGGGGAUCUGAUCUGUUCUGAAAGACGACACAUUCGUAAAAACUACCGCUAUUUUAAGUCCCUGCUCCCCUCUUCAUUCCGGGGACUUUAAUUAUUUAUUUUCUUAAAAUUAUUUCAAUCUUAUUUUUACGGGCUUGAAUUUUUUCUGGAAAUAUUUAAUGUCCUCUCGAUGUAGAGCUGAAGGGGGAGGAUUUUAAAUUCAUACCAUCGAUUUUGAAAAUUUAAGAUGGAUGACAUUUUGUGACGGCUACUGUGUGCGGGUGGGUUUUAAAUUCAUACCACCGAUAUUGAAAAUUAAAAAUAGCGUUUCUGACGAUUUUUCUUGAAAUAAUACAAUAAUAGAGGGGUUUCCUUUGCAGUAGGUGUUUCAAAUUCUUUUGUGGGUUCUCAUCUGACAAAUUUUUCGAGGAAAAAGAGGGCCUAAGAGGAAGUUAUUGAAGAUCUUUUUAGUUGGUGGGGCAAGUGGUUGUGUGGUAUUUUUUCAGGAUCUUAUCAGCUUGUGAAUGAACAAUAAGAUAAGAGAGAUUACCAUCUUGAGCUGGAGUCGUUAUCCUUUAAAUUCUGUUAUCAGCUAAUACUAACAGAGCUGUCAAUCUUGGAAUUCUGCUAAUAUUCUCCUACAAACUGAGCUGAGGUUGGAGGCAAAGUUUGGUGUAGAAGGAAUGAAAGACAACCGUAGACAAUGGUUUUGUAAAGAUGUCAGCAACUUGUUUGUUAGUAAAGACAUGUUUAGUGACGAGAAGUUCAAGUGCAACACGUUCACGCAUAUAAUGAUAGUCCAACUCAAUAUGUUUACUUCGGGCAUGGAACACAUGAUUAAUGGUCAUGUAGAGAGCACUAAGAUUGUUACGGUAGAGUAUGGGAGUAGAAGAGAGUGGAACACGAAGAUCCUUAAGAAUGUAAGUCAGCCAAGUUAUUUCUGCUGCAGUGUUUGCCAUGGCACGAUAUUCUGCUUCAGUACUAGAACAGGAGAUUGUAUGUUGCUUUUUUGCACACCAUGAAAUCAAAUUGGUUCCAAGGAAGGUACAGUAGCCAGUAGUGGAUCGCCUUGUGGUAGGACAGCCAGUCAGCAUUUGGAAAAGCACAAAGAUUAAGAGUAGUAUUGGGCAGAAAGAUGUAACCUAAUGCUAAUCGUGCCUUUAACAUAUCGAAGUAUACGUUGAACUAAUUUCAAAUGAGCAAGAGCAAGAGCAUGCAUGAAUUGUGAAACAUAAUUAACACUAUAAGAAAGGUCUGGUCUAGUGAGUGUAAGGUAUUGAAGGGCACCAACAAUGCCUCAAAGUGAUUGGGGUCAUCAAGGAGAGGAUCAGUAGAUGGGAGUGGAGGGUGUAUUUCUAGCGGUGUACUCAUAGGCUUACACUCAACCAUAUUGGAGUGUGGGCAAUUUCAACACCAAGAAAAUGAUGAAUCGGUCCUAAAUCCUUCAUAGAAAAUUCAGUACUAAAAAGAUGAAUAAAGGAGGUGACAAGCUCAGAAGUUGAUCCUGUGAGAAGUAUGUCAUCUACAUAAAGAAGCAGAAUAAGUGAGCUAUGAUCAGAAUGAAAAAUAAAUAAAGAUGGAUCAGCUAAGCUACAAAAGAACCAAUAUUUAAGAAGAAAGGCACUAAAUCUGUAAAACUAAGUAUGAGGUGCUUGUUUGAGGCCAUACAGAGAACGUUGGAGUUUACAGACAUAGUUAGGGUGUUGGGAGUCUGCUAUACCUAGUGGUUGUUGCAUGUAUAUUUCUUUCGAAAUAUUACCAUGCAAAAAAGUAUUUUUGACAUCGAGUUGUUGUAUUGGCCAAUGUUCCACCAGUGCAAUAGAUAAGAUCAUACGUAUAGUACCUGGUUUAAUGACUGGGGAGAAUGUCUCAGUGUAAUCUAUACCAUCAAUCUGAUGACACCCUUUGGCCAUGAGUCGGGCUUUUAAACGAUCGACAGUCCCAUCGGGUUUAAGCUUAGUCUUGAAGACCCAUUUGGAACCUAUAACAUGCAUGUCUGAGGUAUGAGGAACUAAUCUCCAUGUCUGAUUUGUGUGUAAAGCUGCUAGUUCUUCUUGCAUGGCGGCUUUCCAACCAGGAUGGGAUAAAGCUAAUUUAAUGGUUUUAGGUUCACGUGGGAUAGUGGUGGAAGAAAUGGCUGUCAACAUAUACGUAGGAUUCGGUUUAACAAUACCCAGUUUGGAGCGAGUAGUCAUGGGAUGGAAGGUCAAGUCUUGUUGAGGUUAGGCGGAAGAGGAAGUUUGGGUCGACUCAUGUGGUGGUGCUGGUUGAGUAGAUAGUGUCAACUCUGAGUGCAAUAGAAAAGAUGACUCAAGAGAGAUGGAUGGAUCAUGAGAAUCUAUUGUUGUGCUAGCAGGGGAAGAUGGUGUUGUAGUGGGCGUUGAACAGACAUCAGACAUGGGGGAAAGAUUAUGUGCAGCAAUCAAUGGUAAGGGACUUAAACACGGUGGUGAUGAAGGACCUGAAAUUAAAGUAGUGUCAAUAUGUAAUAACCAUGAGUCAAAGAUAUUAAAGACACAUGAGAUAGUCAGAGAAUUGGAUAUAGGCUUAAAAGGAAAGGAAUUUUCAUCAAAAACCACAUGGCGAGAAAUAAAUUUUUUUUUACUAGUAGGAUGAAAGCAUUUGUAUCCUUUAUAUUUUUCACUAUAUCCUACAAAAACACAUAAAACUGACUUAGGAGUAAAUUUGUGACUCCAUGUGUCCCAAGUAUAAGGAAAGCAUUUAGACCCAAAAAUACGAAGCGAUGAAUAGCAGGAUGAUUACCAUGCAGCAUAAAGUAUGGGGUGUCAAAUCUAAGUGAGGAUAAAGGCAAACGGUUAAUGAGAUACACUGUUGUAGUGAAGGCUUCUACCCAUAACAAGAGCAUGAAACAACAUGGUCAUACCUAAUUCACGAAUAAUUCUAUGACGUCUUUCAACUAUACCUAUUUGCUCUGGAGUAUAUGGACAAGAGAUCUGAUGAAUAAUACCUGUUGAGAGAAAGUGAGAUGAUAAUUUCGAAUUGACAAACUCACCUCCACCAUUUGAAUGAAAAUUUUUGAUUUUUUUAUUGAA